GCGAGUGAAAACGAUAAAAGAAAAAUAAAUAACUAUUUGAAGAGGAAGCGAGUUGGUUGCAGCUGAAACUGGACCACUUGUGAACGGAGGUGACGCGUUUCUCUACGCAGUGGUUAGCAGGUAGCCAAGCAGCUACGUAACUGCGACUGUGUUAGAAAAAAACAAGAGACAAAAAAGUCUGUUAAGAUGAAUAAUAACCACGCAACAGCCUUGGCAUGAUGGACAGCUGAAUCUUUGACCAUCUAACAAACUGCUGUUUCAACUGUCAAAUCAAUGGAAUACAGCCCGUGACACCAUUAUGUGCGAGCGAGACGGCCAGCUCCUGUCAUCUGACUCCCGGGAUUAAGAGAAGAUGGGUGUAAUCCCAACACUUUGAAACGGCGUGAGGACAUCCCCCCCAGAGAUUAGUGUCUUCCCUUGACUUCACAGCUUGGACAGAGACCUCACUGUUGCGAACUGCCUGCGAGUACGAAGGCGGGGAGUCUAAUGACAGCCCAGAAGGAUACAGCGACCCAGACAGCAGCUGCAGCGCCUGAGAGGAUGAGGAGUACUGGGCGGCCGCGGCGGGGGAGCCACCGGGGACGUGGCCUCGGUCCAAGAUGACCAGCCGGGACAAGAGCAGCGGCUGGUGGUGGUGAUGGUGGGAGCCUCCUCGUACGCCCCUGGGCAGGAGGACGCUCCUCUUCCUCUGGUGAUGCAGCACCAGGGCCAGCAGCGCCACCACCAGGACGAAGAUGACGGCGCUACCGAUGACGGCGUAGGUGAUGCUCGGGUAGUAACGGAGGCGGUAAUCCAGGGUGACAAAGUCCUGGCCCGGGGACUCUGUGAGGACAAGAAGAGGACAUGGUAUGUUUUUACACUCGUAGUACUGAUGUUUAACCUGUUGAUGUUUUGAGAACAAAGAGAAGGAGUGGCCAUCGUAGAUCAGGACGUGGCAAAGAUUAGUAAGGCUGAAGUGAGAAGGGCAUUGAAGAGGAUGAAGAGUGGAAAGGCAGUGGGUCCUGAUGAUACAGCUGUGAAGGUCUGGAAGUGUUUAGGACACUUUUUGGCUGGAACACUUUAACAAGGUGAGAGUGAAAGGAUCCCUGAGGUAUGGAGGCGAAGUGUGCUGGUGCCCAUCUUCAAGAACAAGGGAGAUGUCCAGCGUUGAGGCAACUAUUUGAAAAACUUUUGCCUUGUAAAUAACAAGCCAACCAGCUGUCAAAAGUGUGUCCAGCUCCUCAAAACAAAAAUGCUGACACACACUCCCUCAGCAGGCGCAUGGUGAGACGCUAGGAACCAAUAUCAAAAAGCGAGUCACAGCAAUAACAGUUGAAUUCAGGCUGGCGGAAUAGAAUUCAUUUAUUUCUGCUGACUGGAAUUUUCGGAGAAUUUUAAAGCAGGUGUUGGAGGUGACGCCGGGGUUAACGCGGCUUCAUCUACUGUGGAGCAUGACGAAGGGCGAACAGGACACGCAGUAGUCGCCGGGCUGCGCUUUCCAAAAAGGUAUUUGCAGUUGCUGAUUCAGUUCAAACUUGGCCGGGUCCUGCGGGUGCUAUAAACAUCAAACCUCCUCGUAAAAAGUUCAA